rnacentral:tRNA from 1 species
GCUGGGUGUAGCUCAGUGGUAGAACUCUUGCCCAGCAUGUGCAAGACCCUGAGUUCAAUCUCCAGCACUGCA